rnacentral:rRNA from 1 species
AAUGAACGUUGGCGGCAUGGAUUAGGCAUGCAAGUCGUACGCUUAGCGUAGCAAUACGCGAGGAGUGGCGAAAGGGAGAGGAAUACGUGGGAACCUACCUUCGGGCCUGGAAUAGCGGCG